CAGCAGCCACGGUAAUACGUAGGUGGCAAGCGUUGUCCGGAACUAUUGGGCGUAAAGGGCUCGCAGGCGGUUUCUUAAGUCUGAUGUGAAAGCCCCCGGCUCAACCGGGGAGGGUCAUUGGAAACUGGGAAACUUGAGUGCAGAAGAGGAGAGUGGAAUUCCACGUGUAGCGGUGAAAUGCGUAGAGAUGUGGAGGAACACCAGUGGCGAAGGCGACUCUCUGGUCUGUAACUGACGCUGAGGAGCGAAAGCGUGGGGAGCGAACAGGAUUAGAUACCCCCGUAGUCCCUGUCUCUAUACA
rnacentral:rRNA from 1 species